AACAUGCUCCCUUAGAUCCACCUUUGUGGGUGUUCUAACUUGUUCUGAGUUCAGCUGGAUCGAUCUAGCAGUUCUAGUUCAGUGUCACCCAGCAACUUUUUUUGGUUGUACAGUCAAAGGUGCUUGAGUCAUUGGCAUGUAAGAAUAAUAUACCUUCAUGCUGGUCGUUUAUGUUCUGUUGGCAGUGGUUUCAGUGUUUGCUGUACCAUGUCUCACCAACAGGGCUUGGCUAGUAUGAGGACAGG